AGGCUUGCACAGGUGCUGCAUGGCUGUCGUCAGCUCGUGUCGUGAGAUGUCGGUUAAGUCCGCUAACGAGCGCAACCCUCGUCGUAUGUUAUAUGUGUCAUACGAGACUGCCGGUAAAAAGACCGGAGGAAGGUGAGGAUGAUGUCAAGUCAGCAUGACCUUUAUAUCCAGGGCUACACACACGCUACAAUGGUCUGUACAAUGGGUAGCCAAGCCGCGAGGCGGAGCCAAUCCUGAAAGCAGGCCUCAGUUCAGAUUGCAGUCUGCAACUCGACUGCAUGAAGCCGGAGUUGCUAGUAACCGCAGGUCAGCAAUACUGCGGUGAAUACGUUCCCGGGUCUU
rnacentral:rRNA from 1 species